rnacentral:tRNA from 1 species
GAUUUUAUAGUCUAAGUUAAAUGAUAUUAAAUUGCAAAUUUAAAGAUAAAUUUUUUUUUAAAAUCU